CCUACGGGGGGCAGCAGUGGGGAAUAUUGGACAAUGGGGGGAACCCUGAUCCAGCCAUGCCGCGUGUGUGAAGAAGGCCCUCGGGUUGUAAAGCACUUUCAGUGAGGAAGAACGCCUGGUGGUUAAUACCCAUCAGGAAAGACAUCACUCACAGAAGAAGCACCGGCUAACUCCGUGCCAGCAGCCGCGGUAAUACGGAGGGUGCGAGCGUUAAUCGGAAUUACUGGGCGUAAAGCGCGCGUAGGUGGCUUGAUAAGCCGGUUGUGAAAGCCCCGGGCUCAACCUGGGAACGGCAUCCGGAACUGUCAAGCUAGAGUGCAGGAGAGGAAGGUAGAAUCCCCGGUGUAGCGGUGAAAUGCGUAGAGAUCGGGAGGAAUACCAGUGGCGAAGGCGGCCUUCUGGACUGACACUGACACUGAGGUGCGAAAGCGUGGGUAGCAAACAGGAUUAGAUACCCGAGUAGUC
rnacentral:rRNA from 1 species